AUGAAUAUUAAUUUUUAUUUGUAUGACGACGAAGAGGAUAAAGAAGAAAUAGCUAGCAGCUUUGAUAUAUACUGCACAAACUAUUUGUUUAAACUUUUGAAUUUAAAUGCAAAUGAUAAUGCUGUAAUAUGUCAUAGUACAAAUGGGAACACAAAAUAUUAUGUAUGUUGUAAUUUUAAAAAUAUUAAUGAACUGUGUUUGAAGAAACAAACUGAACGAAAUUGUCUUUAUGUUAAUAAAUUUGUUAUAAAAAGCUUACAUGUUAAUAUAAAAAAUGAACAAAGUGAUAACACAAAACAUCGAGAAAAAAAUGAAUUUUAUAAACUACGCGUUGAAAUAAAAAAAAUAGACUCAUAUGUCCCUAUUAAAGAAAUAAAAUUGAAUAUAAGCAAAAUAUGUAAUGACAAUUACAAACAUUUAAAAUCUUAUUAUGAUGUUGAUAGUAUAAAUAUACAUAUGCUAGAAACGUUUUGGGAUAAUAUAAAAAGUAAAAAUAUAGAAAAAUAUAUUAACCUAUCUUUGUUAAAUACAUGUUUAUUUCAGUAUAACUUUUUACAAAUUUCAAUACUGGGAGUACAUACUAGCUUAUUUGUUGCAGAUAUCUUGUUAAAAAAAAAAAAAAAAAAAAGUGACAGCAACGACAACAACAACGGCAACAACAACAACAACAACAACAACAACAACAACAACAACAANNNNNNNNNNAGUGAUAAUAAUGAAAAGGAUCAAAACGAUGAUGUCCAUUUUUUACAUUUCUGUCAUUUUUUGGCUAAAAAGACAAAAAACUAUAGCGGAGCAGAAAUAGUAAAUAUUUGUAGAGAAGCAGCUAUAUGUGCUUUAAAAGAAACUUUAAAAAAAUAUAAAAAAGAAACAUUAAGUAAAGAAAAAUUAAAUAUUGUAACUGGUCUUGUCGGUUUGAAAAAAAAAUAUUUUAUGAAAGUUUUAAAGUCAAUAAAACCUCAAACAAGCAAAGAACUUAUUAACAUAUAUGAAAAUUAUAACAAGCAAAAAAAAAUUAAAUAG
rnacentral:lncRNA from 1 species